CGUAAAGUUGGGGGUGGACAGUGGACACUGGACAGUCGAGAGCCCAGGCAUGGCGUGAUGGCAGCGGCCGCCGGUCCGGUCGGCACUCGGCACACGCACAUAGAAGCAAGGUGCAGCUCGGCGGCCGGCGGCCGGCAUCCAAUACGCGGCCAAGACUGGUCGACUUUAAAGCCGGGCCCCACUCCAAUCUCUAGCAAGGCAGCAACAGAAGGCGUGAAAAUUGACAAGCUCCGCCACGGACUUCUCCAAGACAAUGCUGCAACCGUCCACAAACUUUCUUCAGUCUCGCUCUCUCACUCAGCAAGGAUUCACAUAGGAGGUCCCAUACCAUGCUGAAGUGGCUGUAGUGGAAGAUGUCAAUGUCGCUAAUGGUGUAUGCUUGAUCUUGUAUUCCUUUUGGUUGUCCGAGAUU